UUAUAGAGCAUCCUCAACGGAGUUGGGGUGACAUAUUGUUAUUCUACGUUUCUUUUUUUUCUUAUUAUUAUUAUGGCACCCUCAACGGAGUUGGGGUGACAUAUUGUUAUUGUUCCGUUCUUUUUUUUCUUAUUUUUAUUUUUAUUCUUCCACACAUUUUGUCCAUGCUAUUUCUCGGGAUUGGUCAGACCCAUGUUGAUGGAACUAUACCAUAAUAUGAACCGCCAUGUGAAGUUGUGCAAGAGACAUUGGAAUGGUAAAAAAUGGCUUGCCGUUACCAUGGAAACGAAACAAAUGUGAAAAAUUUCUGUUUUUUGUUUUGGUGAACUGUUUGAAUAUGCUUACACUCAGAUUCAUCAUAUUUUAAUACAAUGUAGG
rnacentral:lncRNA from 1 species